rnacentral:rRNA from 1 species
UACGAAGGGGGCUAGCGUUGUUCGGAAUUACUGGGCGUAAAGCGCACGUAGGCGGCUUUCUAAGUCGGGGGUGAAAUCCUGGAGCUCAACUCCAGAACUGCCUUCGAUACUGGAGAGCUCGAGUCCGGGAGAGGUGAGUGGAACUGCGAGUGUAGAGGUGAAAUUCGUAGAUAUUCGCAAGAACACCAGUGGCGAAGGCGGCUCACUGGCCCGGUACUGACGCUGAGGUGCGAAAGCGUGGGGAG